UGGGGAAUAUUGGGCAAUGGGCGAAAGCCUGACCCAGCGACGCCGCGUGAGGGAAGAAGGUCUUCGGAUUGUAAACCUUUGUUGAUGGGGAAGAAGAAAGUGACGGUACCCAUCGAGGAAGCCACGGCUAACUACGUGCCAGCAGCCGCGGUAAUACGUAGGUGGCAAGCGUUAUCCGGAUUUACUGGGUGUAAAGGGUGUGUAGGCGGAAAGAUAAGUCAGGUGUGAAAAUUACGGGCUCAACCCGUAAACUGCGCCUGAAACUAUUUUCCUUGAGUGUCGGAGGGGCAAACGGAAUUCCAAGUGUAGCGGUGAAAUGCGUAGAUAUUUGGAGGAACACCGGUGGCGAAGGCGGUUUGCUGGACGACAACUGACGCUGAUACACGAAAGUGUGGGGAGCAAACAGG
rnacentral:rRNA from 2 species